UACGGAGGGUGCGAGCGUUGUCCGGAAUCACUGGGCGUAAAGGGCGCGUAGGUGGCGCGGGUAGUCGUCGGUGAAAGCUCAGGGCUCAACCCUGAGUCGGCCGGUGAUACUCCCGUGCUCGAGUGUGGUAGAGGCCAAUGGAAUUCCGGGUGUAGCGGUGGAAUGCGUAGAGAUCCGGAAGAACACCGGUGGCGAAGGCGGUGGGCUGGGCCACAACUGACACUGAUGCGCGACAGCGUGGGGAGCAAACAGG
rnacentral:rRNA from 1 species